GAAGGCCCCCAGCAGACCACUGGGUUGAUAGGCCGGACGUGGAAGCAGGGACCAACGACCUGCGAAGCCGACCGGUACUAAUAGGCCGACAACCUCAACCAC
rnacentral:rRNA from 1 species